GACGAACGCUGGCGGCGUGCUUAACACAUGCAAGUCGAACGGAAAGGCCCUGCUUGCAGGGUACUCGAGUGGCGAACGGGUGAGUAACACGUGGGUGAUCUGCCCUGCACUUCGGGAUAAGCUUGGGGAACUGGGUCUAAUACCGGAUAGGAACCAUCUUUAGUGUGGUGGUUGGAAAGUUUUUUCGGUGUAGGAUGAGCUCGCGGCCUAUCAGCUUGUUGGUGGGGUAAUGGCCUACCAAGGCGGCGACGGGUAGCCGGCCUGAGAGGGUGUACGGCCACAUUGGGACUGAGAUACGGCCCAGACUCCUACGGGAGGCAGCAGUGGGGAAUAUUGCACAAUGGGCGCAAGCCUGAUGCAGCGACGCCGCGUGGGGGAUGAAGGCCUUCGGGUUGUAAACUCCUUUCGCUAGGGACGAAGCUUUUUGUGACGGUACCUAGAUAAGAAGCACCGGCUAACUACGUG
rnacentral:rRNA from 1 species